rnacentral:lncRNA from 1 species
UAAAACUUUAAAGUCGUCUCUAACAUUUACCAACUUUCUCAUAGGACCCUUCAAUCACCUCGACGGAUGUCACUUUAUGACCUACCCCUCGACAGAGGGGGCAAUUGUUAUACCACCUCUGCACAUCACCCUCGAAUGUUGCCUUAUCAAGCACACAUUUGUCACUAGACACCUCCGCAAGAAGCAAGACCAAUUGGCACCCAACACCUAGAGCCUUUCAAUCACGAUAAGGCUUCCAUCACUUGUCAAGCCACCAUACAUUGUCACAUCACCGAUCUACAGGAUCACAUCGUGGCCUUUACAAUGGGACAAGGAGAUGACCCAUUCGCUAAUGAGAUGAGAUAUCCACACAUGGUAUCCCAAACCUCUCUCUUGACUCUUCCAGCAAUCUCUCUCUCCGCUUUCUCCUUUUUUUUUUCUUAUCCUCUCUUGGCACCUUUGGGUGAAUUGUCUUGUACCUUCGCC